rnacentral:lncRNA from 1 species
UUAACUGUGCCUAAAAUUAGUCAACGAAAAAUGUCAAGUUUAAGUUUGCAAAUGUCGGUAACAUUAAUCUGCGGUUCACGUGGUUUAUUUGACAUGCUAAAAAUAUUUUUACGACUAUUUUUGGUCAUAUGUUGAUCAGUUUGAGCAGUUUAAACGGUCAUAAUUUUUAUUUCAAAAUCCGACCAAACGCUGUAUUUUUCCGAGUCAUUUAUUU